AAAUUAAUAAUUAAUAAAUAAUAAAAGAAAUUUUAAUAUUAAAAAAAAAUAAUGGGGGUUAGAGUAUUUUUAAUAGAAAAAAUUAAUAGUUUUAUAGUUAAAUAUUACUGUAAAGGAAAUUAUAAAUAAAUGAAAAUUAAUUAAAGUAAAAGUAAAUUUAAUUUUUUGUAUUUUGUGUAUCCGAGUUUAUUAAAUAUUAAUAGUUUAUUUAAAUAAAUCUCGAAUUUAAAAGAGUUAAUUAGUUAAAAAAGUUAAUGUUGAAUAAUUAUUUUAAAUAACUAAUUUGAAAUGAAAUGUUUAUCGUUUUUAAAUAUAUUUAGUUUUUUUAGAAAAAAAUUUAAUUUUAAAUUUAAAUAAUUUUAUAAUUUUUUAAUUAAUUAUAAAAAUUUAAAAUUUAAUUUUUUAGGGGGUAAGCCUUAAAUUAAAAUUUUAUAAUUAAUAAAAAUUAAAAUUAAAAUUUUUAAAAUUUUUUUUGUUUAAAAAUUUUAAUUUUUUUUAAAAAAUUUUAAUUAAAAUAAAAUUUAAAUAAAUUUAAUUUUUUAUAAAAAAAUAAUUUUUAAUAAAAAAAAAUUAGUAAUAAUGAUAAAAUUAGUAUAUUACCAUAAAAUAAAAAAAAAAUUAAUUAAAAUUAAAUUAAAGGAAUUCGGCAAAAAUUUAUAUUCACUUGUUUAUCAAAAACAUGUCUUUUUGAUAAUAAUUUAAAGUCUAAUCUGCCCCCUGAUAUAAUUAUUAAAGGGCUGCAGUAUAUUGACUGUACAAAGGUAGCAUAAUCAUUAGUCUUUUAAUUGAAGACUUGUAUGAAAGAUUUGAUGAAAUAUAAACUGUCUCUAAUUUAUUGAAAUAAAAUUUAAUUUUUUAGUAAAAAAGCUAAAAUAAAAUUAAAAGACGAGAAGACCCUAUAGAGUUUUAUAAUUAAAUUAAUUGAUUUAAAAUAUAUAAAUAUGAAAAUAAAAUUAUUUUAAUUAUUUUAUUGGGGUGAUAGAAAAAUUAAAAAAACUUUUUUUAAAUGUUAACAUUAAUAAGUGAAUAAAUGAUCCAUUAAUAAUGAUUAUAAGAAAAAAUUACCUUAGGGAUAACAGCGUAAUAUUUUUUUUUAGUACAAAUAAAAAAAAAAGUUUGCGACCUCGAUGUUGGAUUAAGAUAAAAUUUAAAUGCAAAAGUUUAAAAUUUUGAUCUGUUCGAUCAUUAAAAUCUUACAUGAUCUGAGUUCAAACCGGUGUAAGCCAGGUUGGUUUCUAUCUUUAAUAAAAAUAAAUAUUUUAGUACGAAAGGAUCAAAUAUUUGAAAUAAUUUUAAUUAAAUGAAUAUUAAUAAUA
rnacentral:rRNA from 1 species